GUCGAGGGGUAGAAUAGCAAUAUUUGAGACCGGCGCACGGGUGCGUAACGCGUAUGCAAUCUACCUUUUACAGAGGGAUAGCCCAGAGAAAUUUGGAUUAAUACCUCAUAGUAUAGUGAGUUGGCAUCAACACACUAUUAAAGUCACAACGGUAAAAGAUGAGCAUGCGUCCCAUUAGCUAGUUGGUAAGGUAACGGCUUACCAAGGCAACGAUGGGUAGGGGUCCUGAGAGGGAGAUCCCCCACACUGGUACUGAGACACGGACCAGACUCCUACGGGAGGCAGCAGUGAGGAAUAUUGGUCAAUGGGCGCAAGCCUGAACCAGCCAUGCCGCGUGCAGGAUGACGGUCCUAUGGAUUGUAAACUGCUUUUGCACAGGAAGAAACACUCGGUCGUGACCGAGCUUGACGGUACUGUGAGAAUAAGGAUCGGCUAACUCCGUGCCAGCAGCCGCGGUAAUACGGAGGAUCCAAGCGUUAUCCGGAAUCAUUGGGUUUAAAGGGUCCGUAGGCGGCCAGAUAAGUCAGUGGUGAAAGCCCAUCGCUCAACGAUGGAACGGCCAUUGAUACUGUUUGGCUUGAAUUAUUUGGAAGUAACUAGAAUAUGUAGUGUAGCGGUGAAAUGCUUAGAGAUUACAUGGAAUACCAAUUGCGAAGGCAGGUUACUACAAAUUGAUUGACGCUGAUGG
rnacentral:rRNA from 1 species